AUCCUUUUAAUAUAAAAAGUAUAAUUGACUUCCAAUCAACCAGUCCCUAUGGGAAAGGAUA
rnacentral:tRNA from 1 species